UACGAGGGGGGCGAGCGUUAAUCGGAAUUACUGGGCGUAAAGCGUGCGCAGGCGGUUUUGUAAGUCUGUUGUGAAAUCCCCGGGCUCAACCUGGGAAUGGCAAUGGAGACUGCAAGGCUAGAGUUUGGCAGAGGGGGGUAGAAUUCCACGUGUAGCAGUGAAAUGCGUAGAGAUGUGGAGGAACACCGAUGGCGAAGGCAGCCCCCUGGGUCAAAACUGACGCUCAUGCACGAAAGCGUGGGGAGCAAACAGG
rnacentral:rRNA from 1 species